UGUCCCGCUACCUCAAACUCGCUGAGAUACAAUGACUGUGCUGAACCCAGCUCUGCCCAAGCAACAGAGGCAGGAAAAGCUCAUAUGGUGACCGUGUUAAAUGACAAUUAGCUGGGCAAAGGCCACCAUCACGCUGACUGGUCAAGCUAUAGGUCGACCUGGACUAUAACUGGUAUGGUGACCCACCACAAUUGGGACCAGGAUCCCCACCACCAUGACGACUUGAGAACCACGGAUCAACGGGAUGCCGCCGAACUCCAGAGGACUGUCGGAACACGGUUGGGCCUGUGAUGGUGACUGUACUCUUGCUGUGCUCCAUAAUACUGCUUCUCCUUUCUGCCUUUCCUCGUCUCAGUGACUAUUGCUGGGGAAUAACAAUAGAGCUACAGUGAUCGGCAUCUAACCUCGUUUGUGUCUGAAUCUCACGCUUGGAAUCAUUGCAAACCUCUCCUGGGCCUAACAGUUGGACUGGGAUGUAAAAUGGUAUCUCACUGGUGUUCUCCUGUUGGCUCCUUCCAUAACCUCAGGAGCCCUUUCCUCAUCUCUCUAAGACUUCAAGUGUGCUCCCGUGUACCCAGCAUGCAUCAGAGCAACAGGCUGAGGGCCCUCAUUAGCACCCCAUCCUUCUACCUUGGUGUGUUCUCCUUCUGUGGUGACUACACAGGCAAGCCUGAUAUUGUCCCGCUCCCCCUUCAAGCCUAGUAGAAGGCUCUGUCAAUGAGCUCCACUUACUCCUGAGCAAAGACCCCCUUCCCCGUUUCAGAAAGAUGACACCAGCAAGCCUCAUGCCGUGCAGGCCACCCCAAUCUCAAAAACCACAAAACUGUGCGGAUGACCCGAGCCACGGAGAUAUAGACUCUGUCGGUCUCUUUAUUCCAUGGUUGCUGCACACAACUGGAAAGAGAGAGGAGAAAAUACCCUGUGGUCCAGAUUCCCUUACCAACUGUCCUGAUGCACUGGAGUCUCUUUUGAUGGCUUUUGGAUUCUGUGUUGUGGCUUCAUGAUCCCCACGUGGAAGAGCAGUAAUGGGUAAUGGUCCGAGGUCCGUACCAGGCUGGGAAGUUUCCUGUGAUGUCCUUAACUUGGGCCCCAGGGAGGCAGCAGACUUCCCUAAGAGGAGGCUCUGCCUGGCAUAGUGGAGCCUCGGUUCCCCGCAGAAGGGAGUCGCCUACAACUCUAACCCAUUUCUCCUUCGUCGUCAAGGUGGCCGUGAUAUGGGAUGUAGGCCUUUCUGACCUCGGGCACACCUCUGGGGAAGAUGGACCGUCAUCCCCAUCUUCAUCCAUUGACUGGCCUUCCCCAUCCAGAGCCUCCUACCUGUGGUACAGAGGCACCUGGGAAGCCAGGGAGAGGAAGAUGAGUGCUCGCACCGCCUUCCAUGGGCUUUGCCUGGAAGGGAACCUGGGCAACGUGAUCAUCAUCGUGGAUGGUGUUGAAUUCGUUGCCCACAAGAUGAUCCUGUGUAGCUGCAGUCAAUACUUCAGGGCUUUGUUUUCCAGACACUGGAGCAAUGCCGAGAAGACCGUCUACAAAAUCCCCGGCACUUCCCCUGAAAUGAUGGGGCUCAUUAUCCAGUACGCCUACACCGGGACGGUGCCGGUCACGGCUGACAACGUUGUCAGUUUGCUGAUCGCCGCAGACCAGUUCAAUGUCCUGGGCAUCAUCAGGCUGUGCUGCGAGUUCCUGAAAUCCCAGCUCCACUUGGAAAACUGCAUCGGCAUCUGGAGAUUCACGGGCCACUACUACUGCCCUGACCUGCGAGAAGCAGCCCACGACUUCAUCCUGCGGCACUUCGAGGAGGUGACCAGGGCGUCCACAGAGCUCCUGGAGCUCUCCGUCAGCGACCUGGAGCGCCUCCUGGAGGAGAAGGAGGAGCUCCCUCUGAAAGAAGAGGCCGUGUUCGAGGCCCUUCUCAAAUGGCUUGCUCAUGACCUGCAGGCAAGGAGGCAGCACGUUGCAGUCUUGCUGGGCCAGGAAGGCUGGAGGAAUGGACAGAAGGGCUUUUUUUUCUUUAAAUAAACUCAGCGUUACUGACAGUUAAGACACUUUUGAACUCCUAGGUGCGCAAGGGUAUGCGUUUGUAGUUCCUAUUCCCUGUACUUACACGUCACUCUUCCAAAUCUGCAAGUGCCAUUUCUACCAGUUCCAUAUGAACUAGAUUGUCCCAGAAGGUCCUAUUGACCGACUCCUUGAGGAGCUGGAAGUUUGCUUUUCUCAAAUCCAGGGUCCUGACUUUCCUCUUCCCCCCGACACCCACACCCCUCAGGACUCUGAACUCCACCGGUGUCUGACCACUGCAGCCCAGGCUGCCUCCAAUCUUGAUCUCACCCGUUAGCUCAUUGGCGUUGGUGCCCAUCAGGUCCGGUAUGGCCUCUCCUCUGGUGGGGCUGUCUCUUACCUGGCUUAAGGAAUUCUCUUCCAGGCACUCUGCCGCGGGAGUCUCCGACAGCUCGCCGUGCUGCUUUUCUGGCAGCUGCGGGGCUGGUUGAAGCCCCCCAGCAGGACGAGAACCUGUGAGCGCGAUGCCUGCCGCUGUAGCUGGAGGAAGCAGGCGCUGCCAAGAGGCUCCCCUUGAUCGGGCGGCCUGUAGUAGACACCAGCCACAAGGCUGGGUUUCUUGCCUGGCUCUCUAAUUCUUACCCAUAAGCUUUCAACCUGCUCUUGGCUAUUCUUCAGAGACAGCUCUUCACGCUCCCUCUGUUUCUUGACCUAGAGGGCAGACCCUCUGCCCCUCCUUCCUUCCUUCCCCGUCACUGGCCAUCCAUCGCCACACUCCAGUCAUGGGAUUCGUCCCACCGAGUUUCAGUAUUGGCUAGUGGUCGUGAUAUGGGAUGUAGGCCUUUCUGACCUCGGGCACACCUCUGGGGAAGAUGGACCGUCAUCCCCAUCUUCAUCCAUUGACUGGCCUUCCCCAUCCAGAGCCUCCUACCUGUGGUACAGAGGCACCUGGGAAGGAAGGCUGGGCAAGGAGGGGGUUCUCCUGCCACCCUGCCUGUGGACUUGCCUCCAUUCACUCCUUUCCUUGAAGCUACUCUCUUCAGCCUGGUGGGGGGAGCUUGCAGGAUGCCCUUCACCUUCUUGGGUUUUUUUCUGGUGGCUGUUCCUGUUUCUGUCUCAGGGAGGGCAGAGCAAGAUGCCACCAGUCUAUCACUUCCUUGGACUCCCUGAUGACCCUAAAACCUCCCAAUACCCCUCUGUAGACAGCUCAAAACCAACUGGAGACCCCCGCAGCCCCUCCCAAAUCCCGUCAGGAGCCCCCAAAGUCCCAGAAACACCCUCUUAACCCCCUAAUCCCCCCCAGGACCCUCCUCAGUCCCACCCAUGGCACCAAAACCCCCCCAAUAUCCCCCAGAGGGAACCCCAAAACACCCAUGGGAACCCCACCAAGUUGGAUAGACCUGUACAGCUCUUCGUAUGUGGUCCUACCUGCUAGACUUGGGUAUUUUAUGGAGACUGCCAGGGGAGUUGCAUUUGUUCGUGGUGGCUGGGGUGGAAAAUGCAAAUGCUAAGUGGGAAGACAAUUAGGAGUCUGUUGCAGUUCAUGUAGCUCCAACAAAACUUGCAAUACUGUUGUGUUUGUGGCAUUUUUAGUGGCAUUGGUGGAAAGAGGCGGUUUUUGUGUUUUGAGGUUCCCUUCAGCCUUCUGCCUGGCUUUGCAAAUCUGCAGACACAGCUCUUCACUCUCCCUCCAUUUCUUGACCUAGAGGGCAUCCCCUCUGCCCCUCUUUCCUUCCCUGUUGCUGGCCAUUGAUCCUGAGGAGGACCCUUAAGGCUGACAGGGAACCUUACUGGAAACAGGUUCAGAAAAAGCGUGGAGAAUACUUUAUAACUAAAUGGGGAAAGGAGAGAAUUCCUUCUUGUUUUUUCACAGUCAUCUUUCCAGCAGUACUAUAAACAACAUGAGAGAGUUUAAUGAAUUUUCCCAAAUCCUUGAAGAAUUGCCGUGCAUCAGAAAUGUAGUUCUAGAUGAAGCCUAAUGCACAAGCAACAACCA